rnacentral:rRNA from 1 species
AUACGUAGGGGGCGAGCGUUGUCCGGAAUGAUUGGGCGUAAAGGGUGCGUAGGCGGCCUGUUAAGUCUGGAGUGAAAGUCCUGUUUUCAAGAUGGGAAUUGCUUUGGAUACUGAUGGGCUUGAGUGCAGGAGAGGUUAUCGGAAUUCCCGGUGUAGCGGUGAAAUGCGUAGAGAUCGGGAGGAACACCAGUGGCGAAGGCGGGUAACUGGACUGCAACUGACGCUGAGGCGCGAAAGUGUGGGGAGCAAACAGGAUUAGAUACCCUGGUAGUCCACACUGUAAACGAUGAAUGCUAGGUGUAAGAGGUAUCGACCCCUUUUGUGCCGGAGUUAACACAAUAAGCAUUCCGCCUGGGGAGUACGGCCGCAAGGUUGAAACUCAAAUGAAUUGACGGGG